GGGGAAGGGGGGUUGAGCUGGCGUCCCUCGGCCCCCCUCCAGGGUCCGGUCUGAGGGGUCCUUCCUUCAUUAGGGGCGGGGUGGGGGGGGGGGCCCUCAGCUGCCCCCCUGGAGGCCCUGCAGGGUGGUCUGCAGCCCGCUGCGGGCCCCGUCCACCGGCUCCAGGGCCUUGCUGUUGCUACGGAGACCAGACAACAGUCAGACAACAGUCAGACAACAGUCAUCACAGAUAAUGUAGAAAGAAACAACCCAAGAACAGCCGAGAGGUGCAGAGUGGUUUAACCCCCCGUGAGGUGCAGAGUGGUUUAACCCCCCGUGAGGUGCAGAGUGGUUUAACCCCCCGUGAGGUGCAGAGUGGUUUAACCCCCCGUGAGGUGCAGAGUGGUUUAACCCCCCGUGAGGUGCAGAGUGGUUUAACC
ensembl:lncRNA